rnacentral:misc_RNA from 1 species
AACGCACAUUGCGCCCUUUGGUAUUCCGAAGGGCAUGCCUGUCCGAGCGUCAUUAUCAACCAUCAAGCUAGGCUUGCUGUUGGACCCGGUGGUGCCGAAUGUUGGUGACCACCGGUCUCGAAGGAAAUGGCGGCGUCGUGACGGACCCCGGAUACAGCGAGCUCUCGGCAGCACGUAUCGAGGUGGUCCGCCCGGCCUGGCCUCGACAUGUAUUCCAUAUGUUGACCUCGGAUCAGGUAGGAAUACCCGCUGAACUUAA